rnacentral:miRNA from 1 species
AGAGCUUCCUUCAGUCCACUC